CCCGUGCUGGUCAGCAGCAGACCGUGGUGUCAGGGCUGCCCCCUCCAUGGCACAGGCGAGGGGCCGAUCUCAGCUGCAUGGUGCUGGGUAUGAGGGGGCAAAGAACUAGCGCUGAGUGAGAUCCCUGUGCAGUGAGGAGCCGGGUGUGAGGCCUGGCCUGCUAUCCCGCUCUGGGUCUGGAUCCUCCGCUCCACCUUGGUCCUGAUCCUGCUGGCCUCCUGCCCCAUCAUCAGCUGCAUCCUGAGAGGAAGAGCCGUUGUUCCGCCGUCCCGGAAGGCCCUGGAGGGGAAUGGCAGGGAGGAAGAGAAAGGAGAGGCCAGGUCUUGAAGAACACACGCUGUCACCUGCUCCCUCAGGGGCUGGACGGGCGGUUGCUCUUUCAGCCCCUCGGCCAUGCUGAGAAUGCAGCGCAGCGACCACCCCCAGGACAGAAAUGAGCACUGCAGACGAGCGACCGGCUGGUCAUUGCAUAAUGAGCCCAGCAUUGUUCUGGGCCUAUGUGUCUAUAAAUACUGCCAGGGCCGUGGUGGGAGAGACUCCUGCGCUGGGAACAGCAACCACAGCCAGCAACCACAGCCCUGUCUCCGUGCUGACCUCGCAAGCAGAGUGGGGUUCAGUUUAUAACUAGGCUUCGAUGGGUUUGCUUGUAAUUGAUAAAUAGCAGUAAACUUCCGUUUCGCCACACGCACGCAAACCCACGAGAAAAUAUUUCCAUCGAUAAUAAUAGAAAUCUGCAGAGAAGCAAAGUAAGAGAAAUGCUGCUUGAGACAUUAUUCGGGGUUGAUGUAAGGAUAUUUACUGUGCAUAUUUUGACAUAUGAUGGUGACAAUUGAUGUUUUAAGGGCUAUAAACCUUUAGCGCUCUGACUCUCAAC